rnacentral:rRNA from 1 species
AAUGUCUGGGAAACUGCCUGAUGGAGGGGGAUAACUACUGGAAACGGUAGCUAAUACCGCAUAACGUCGCAAGACCAAAGAGGGGGACCUUCGGGCCUCUUGCCAUCGGAUGUGCCCAGAUGGGAUUAGCUAGUAGGUGGGGUAACGGCUCACCUAGGCGACGAUCCCUAGCUGGUCUGAGAGGAUGACCAGCCACACUGGAACUGAGACACGGUCCAGACUCCUACGGGAGGCAGCAGUGGGGAAUAUUGCACAAUGGGCGCAAGCCUGAUGCAGCCAUGCCGCGUGUAUGAAGAAGGCCUUCGGGUUGUAAAGUACUUUCAACGGGGAGGAAGGGA